GAUGAAGAACGUAGCGAAAUGCGAUACUUGGUGUGAAUUGCAGAAUCCCGUGAACCAUCGAGUCUUUGAACGCAAGUUGCGCCCGAAGCCAUUAGGCCGAGGGCACGCCUGCCUGGGCGUCACACGUCGUUGCCCCCCCAUCUACUCCUUCGGGAUUGCGGGGGGCGGAUGAUGGCCUCCCGUGCGCCUCGUCGCGCGGUUGGCAUAAAUGCCAAGUCCUCGGCGACGCACGCCACGACAAUCGGUGGUUGCGAAACCUCGGUUGCCCGUCGUGUGCGGUCGUCGCGCAUCGAGGGCUCGAAAAAAUUGUCGGGCUCCGGCUCGGCUUUCAACGCGACCCCAGGUCAGGCGGAGUUACCCGCUGAAUUUAAGCAUAUCAAUAAGCGGAGGA
rnacentral:misc_RNA from 1 species